AAGUCCACGGAUCUAAAAACGUCUGUGUGAUGUCUUCUUGGCACAAAUAUGGGUUAUUGCCGUUAAAGGUCUUCACGCCAUUUUAACCUAAAAAAAGGACACAUCUUUUCUCCAGCGCCUUCAUUCCAAUUGAAGAUACGAUCGAGGGCACACAAGAGGGACAGCCGCUUACUUCAAUUGACUGGCCUCCACCGACGGUCUUCUUCAUCCUAUCUCCUCCUCUCGUCGCCACCGUCAAGACAAGGAGCACCACCGAUUUUAACCUAAAAAAACGGACGCAUCUUCUCUUCUCCAAUGCCUCCAUUCCAAUCGACUUUCUAAUCGAUUGUAUCCUCAAUCGACUGCCCCUCGACCGUCGGUAUUCUUCAGCCCGUGUCCUCUGCUCGACGCUGCUAUCCAGGGCACCACCAGCGCCCCCCUCCUCCACUGUGAACGCCUCCUCCUCCUUCCUCAUUUUCCCGAUCACCUUUCCUUCGUUCGGUCACAACUAUGCCGACGCAAAUCUCCUGGUGCAUCUCUCCAUUACCCUUUUUUGCUCGAUUUCUUGUCCAACAAAGGUAAAACCCUAGAUUUUUUAUAUUACUUCAUGUAUACCACUUUAUAUGUUUAAUUUGUUGAUAAUGUUGAUUUGUUUUGUUGAAUUUGGGAUUUUAAGUUAAAUGUUAGGAGGGUUUGUUUGUUUUUUUUUAUCAAGAGGAAUUGAACAAAAUGUGAUUCUUUUACUUCUUUGUUUAUUUGGAACCUGUGAUUGUAAGUAGGAACAAGUGUUAGGUUGAAUUUGAAUUUGUGUAAGAAUUUGAAUUAUUAAAAUGUUAGGUUAA